rnacentral:lncRNA from 1 species
GCAGGCUCUAAGCAGGAGGCCAGGUGUGUGUGUGAGCCUUGUUGGGCUCAGUCUGCCAUUUCUCGGCCUGCCAGCAGGGCGGGUUCCAGCUCUUUCCUUGGUUCCUGGUUGCUCUGCCAGUCGGUUCAGGCCCGUGGGGUUCCCUGCCCCACACUCACUCUAAAACCUCCUCCCGGAGAUCGCCCAUGGUUCCUCGGGCACCGAGGCUGCUUGUGCGCACAGAAUGAUGGCUGGGGCAGGGACUAUAUUUGCUCCUUGGGAAGAAAAGCUAGACCUGCUGUGGGAAGGUUCCACACAUAGUAAGCCAAGCAUGGGGCUGAGUGCAGAGAAGGCCAAGGCCCCUUCCCAGGAGAAGCUGUCCAAGCGAAGACCUGCCAGCCGAGUCCACGGGGCAAGAAUAUAUUGUCCACUGGCAAAGGAAUACGUGGGAAGGGAGAUGGUGCAAACAUUUUCAGCAUGUGCAAAGGCCCCGGGGCAAGAAAAUGUGUAUCCUGUAGCUAAAGACUCCAGUAUGGCUGAGCUGUUGUGUAUGGAGCCCCAUGUAGAGGGAACGCUGGUUUUCUACUGUAGGAUCUUGUUUGAUGCUUGGCUUUUGACAGCUACUACAGGGAGCACUGAAGCCCAGAGGGCCUCUCGUUUCUUCCUCUGUCAAGGUGCGUGCGUUCGUGCGUGUACUCUGGGACACUGAGGCAGGAUCCCUUCUUUGUCACAAGACCCCCUUUGCCCUUCACCCCCGACUUUGCCCCAGCGCUUGACCAUGAAGCCGGGUGGCACAGCCGGCUGCCUGUGCCUGCUUGAGGACCUGUGGUUGCAGAAACAGCUGGAGGGAAAUCAAUUUGUUCUUUGCUACAGUCAGACAUGAACCAAUUAGAGCUGCCCCAUGGGGCCUCUGUGCUCAGGGAGAGAGAACAAGCCCGGGCCUGUUAAUCCCUGCUCCCACCUUCUACCAGCCAGCAAAGUGAAGGGUGCAGCUGGAGGAGGGCCAAGCCUGCUCCCUCCUCACCGCUCCCCUGGAUCUGUGGUUGACCUUUGACCUUCCACUCCAUGCCCAGCGUCUGGGUGAUUUCAGAGGUGCCUUGGGGCUAUGCAGAAGUGGUGGCCCGAAGAGCACCCACCUCAAACCCCCAACACCAGGACUGGCCUCCGUUCUCAGAGCAUCCAUCCAACCCACCAACUCCACCCAUACUGGACAGAAGAGGUGCAGUGCACAAUGUAACGGAUUUCGUGUCUCUCUUUGUGCCACAGAGAGGCCCAGGGAGGGGCACACGCAUCAAGCAUGUUGAGGAGGCUCAGCCAGGAGCGUUCAGGGUUAAAAAAGACCUCCUCAGCAGGAUGCAUUUGGGGUUGGGGGCAGGAGCUGAGAUGUCCCUCUUCGAGGCUCCCUCAUGCCAGCCCUAUCAAUGUCUGUGAGAACUGGAGUGUGCCAGCUUCCUGCCUCCUUGUUGUCCAAUGUCCAAUGGGAACUUGUGAGAGUCCGCUGUCAAGACAGUUCUUCCUCUGGCCACUCACCAUGGUUUUCUGCCCCUGCUAACCUCAUCCCUACAAGCUGUAUCUAUGUCCCUAGCCAGCGCUAGCCCACCCUAUGGCUCCAGGCUGUCGGAAGU